UUUUAUCAAUCCUGAAUAUUACAUAUAAGGUUCUUCACUUUGACCAGUAGAAUAUAUGCAUAACUUUCCCUAAUGGUAAAUACAUAGGUUAAACUAAAAAAUCGUUAUUGGAUACUAAAUUCGUUAAUUCUAAGAAUAUUUAUCAGAUUUCAGUCCGGAAUAUCUACAUUGCCAUUCAUAAGGUCAUCUUUUCGAAGCAAAGUUCUUUUCCCUUUUUCAUCUUCUUUCCCGUCUUUACAAGAUCCGUUGGCUCUUCGCGCGAGAAUCAUCAUGAAAUCACUCAGAUGGCUAAUCACAAAGAAACACAAUGUAUUUCUUGCCUUCCUUUUUCCCUCUUUCUACCGGUGCGUGUGCGUCAAACGUGAACGGCGCGACACUCGUAAACAGUAAGCAUUGAAUAUGCAUGUUGCGGCACGUGGACAAAAACCUAUUACCCUUGACUUUCACCAGUGUGCCUUCUCUGGCGGAACCAGAGGCGACUGCACUUGCCACUUGUCAUAGCGUGUGUGUACAUAUCUCCUGAAUCUGAUGCACCUGUAGAUCGGCCGUUUGUUGUUUCAUCAUUUCAGUCGUUUGCGCGUAACGAAAGAUAAUUGCGAAACGGCGCGGCAAGCCGAUCUCAUCCGAGCUCGGUCGAAGGUUACCGAGCGUCAUGGCUACAUAAAUACAGCGAGUGACGCUUGGCGACCAUUCGAAGAGCGAGCGAGGUUAAAGUAAUUUCAGUCCAGUGCACCCGUUAAGCAAGUUUUCACUGUGAAACAUACAUUCGAAUUAUAAAAAGUGAUACGCAGCGCGUCAAUCGCGCGACCAAGAAAACGUUUUCUCUUGGUAAAACCGAUUGAAGAGGAACGCGUAUCGGAAGAGAGAUUCGUUUCGUGUUUGAGAGUAAGCUCAAAGAGAAAUCAAACAUGUACACCAACCCGUUUAACCGCAAACACAGUACUAUACGACAGAUGUUGGACAAGUUACUCGAUCCGACGAAAAGAUCCAUCAGAAGAUCGGAAAGUGUGUCGAGUUCCGACAGUGGCAGUUCCAAGGGUAGCAAUAGUUCCCUGACCGGAUGCACGCACAGCCACAGGGGGGUUUUACAUUGGAGCAGAAAGUGAAUCACCGAGGAAGAUAACCAGUGAAAUGCUGUGAUUCUCUUCUUUCUCUCCGUUUUUUUGCUUUUUUGUUUCAUCCUCUUUGCGUAUCCUUGCGGAUACAGCAAGCCGAUAAGAGAAGUCAUUAACAGUGCAAGAGAUUUCGAUCGAGUUUGCUGGCAGUAUCAGCAAAGUAUGCCGUGGAAAAUACCAUUGCACGGCAUAAAAGGCCGACCUGCUAUGACCCUGUCGCCGCGGAGCAGACACGUUUUGAAUCAACGCGGGAAGUUCCGACGCGACUUGAUGAAAAUACGAAGCCAUAUAUCCACCACCGAGACCAGGUGUUAUUACACCGCGCCGCGUCGCGCCGCGCCGUCGCGUCGUGAAGAUCGAUCGUGGUUAUUUGCUCGGAUCGAUGAUCAAAGGAUAUUGUACGAGUCACGGCUACUCGAAUGUACGGUAAAUAUCACAACUGCGAUAUAAACAUCAUUUUUGUUUAGAAGAAAUCUAAAUGAUAUUCACUACGGUGAAAAUAUAUGGAGUUGAUCACUGAAUAUUGUCAAAUCCAUUCAAAUGUUACCGAAUAUCGUAUCGAAGUACAUAUAACAACCAUAUAUCGAACUGUAAAUUCAGCUUGGAUAUACAUAUUACGCACGCAUACAAGCGCUAUAUUUAUUGCAUAUCACAUUAUUUAUUUUGUAGACGAAAUUUAAUUAUACAUAUACACGUCUAUAGCAUUGUUAAGACUAUCAUGUGCCAUAAUCGUUAAAAUUUGCAAACGCUUUCCCGUUGACUGUUAGUUUUAUGUUACUAGUCAAAAGUCAGUAUUAGUCGCUGAAUCUGUACAUGAAAAAUACGUACAUGUUACAUGAAUCUGUAAAUCGACGAUAGUAUGUUACUUUUAAUUUAUUUGUUUCGCAUGAUAUUCGAACCAAAUAAAAGAUAUUUAUUGAAAAAUUAGUUGUUUCGUCCUUCCUCAACUCUUUCCUUAUUCUUCUGCAUUAGAUAUAACAUCCCUCUCAUUCUUCUACAUUUUAAUAUAAAAUUUUUCACACGAUAUAUGUACUCACAUUACAGUCAAUAAUUGUAUGUUAAACCGUUGAAGAAAUAUUUUCCAUAAAUAUAAAUCUAAUAUUUUACCCAUUACUAUAUUACAAGUUAAACUAUUUGAGAAAGCAUUUUCUUUUCUUCAAACUUUCGCAAAUUACAUACUAUUCAACACGUAUGAAGACCAUAGGAAAAAUCAUGAUAACUACAUACAUAUUUGUUAAUUUCUUGAUUGUAAUGUCACUUUGUAGCUAUACAAAGAAAUAUUGAAAUAUAUCUAAACAUAGAAUAGAUAAAAAUAGGAAGAAUCUUUUAAGUCCAAUCGAAAGAAUUUUUAAAAAGAAAUUUAUAAGAUAAACGAUAUUUUAAUAUCUUCUUUUACGUCAUCUGGUAACAGAAUUACUUGACAACGUAUUGAAAUUUCAAAACUGCUACCCUAUAACAUAUAAAAUGUAACUAUAUAUCAUCCUCCUCUAUCCCCAUAUACACUGACGUUGAUAAACGUACAUGUAUCUGAACAUUUUGAUUGACUUGCAAUAGCAAAUUUUACCAAAUUUGGUAAGUAUGCAAAUCAAAGAGGAAUUAAUAACAAAGAGUUACUAUCUUUUUAUGAAAUUACCAGACUAUGAUACUGAAUUAUAUAUUAAAAAAUAUAUCUAUAUAUAUAUAUUUUACUAUUUACUGUAUAGGUAUUUAUAUAGAAAAUUAUGGAUAAAUUAACUUUUAUAAGGCAACAUCCAAUAAUAAAACUGGUAUGUAUGUAUCUAUGUAGUCUGUAAUCAUCAAAAUUUAUAUCAUAGAACUACACUCUGUUACUUAACAAACUCUUUACUUUGAAAUCCUUUCAUUUUUGACACGGAAGACAGAUUAAAAGGGUCCCCUAUACUGUUUCUGUUUCCACUGUGAUGAGUGGAAAGACGUAAGGCAACAAUUUGGUACAUAUUCCUUUUCCUUGUCUUUCAUACGAUAAAUUUUGCACAAUAAAAGUUGAAAUAGCCACUACUAAACUAAUAGUUUCUUUUCUAUAAAAAAAUCUCGCGCUGUAUCGAUUAAUGUAUUAAAAGAUACAUGAUUCCUUUUAAAAGAGCAAAGUUUAUCUUCACAUAACCCACGCCCACCUAUAGAAUAACCAACAUCACAAUAUGCCUGCCUUCAAUUCAUUCAACUUCUAUCUGAAACAUUUUUCGCUGCGAGUAAUAAUAGUAACGUAAACCGAAAUCUCAAUAUCAGGUGAGACACUUGGUAUGUACAAGGCGCGCGCGUGAGUCAACUUUAUAUUGUAUAUGUACAUAUAAAUUGCGUAAAUGUAAUAAUCAAAACUGAAGUCAUUUAUUAUUAAUAAAAAUCUUAUGGUCAGAUACAUCUUUUGAUCAUAUUGAAUUACAACGUUGAUUGUAAAUUUCCAAGGAAAAUUCAGUUGAAUGUAACAAAUAUGCUCGGUUAAAUGAUUUUAUGUGAAGAGGCGUUAUACGUUGAGUCAAUUAAACAGCUAUAGUUAUAAGCUAGUGCUCUGGAAACGUACGUACGUAAUAAUAAUAAUAAUAAUAAUAAAAAUAAUAAUAAUAAUAAUAAUAAUAAUAAUAAUAAUAAUUCAAUGCUGAAAUAUUUACAUAUUACGUUAUUGGCUUAAUUGGAAUUCAAACCGUUGCAGACGAUUGAGAGACGUUAGUGAGGUCAAUAAGAUUUAUUGUCAAUAGUUAUCUACAAGUGUGCUUUUGCAAUAGCAAGCAAUUUUUAUUCGAAUGAUAAUUAGAUAAUUGUUAACUGCAGUGUUGUAAAUUCCCUUGUUGUUUGUAUCAUGGAUUAUCCAUGGAUUACAGUUACUUACAUCAGUCGUACUACAUAAAAUAUUAUCUUUCUCGAGUUUGUAAAUAUGCGUGUAUGGUAGAAUAAAUAUCACUAUGCUUCUCUUUAAUUUAAAUGGGAUAUGUGAAUGGGAUUUGAUAAUAUAAUGAUGAAAAUAGCGAUUCUGUAUUGGUAUACAGGUUGCAAUUAUUUCUGUGGUCACCUAUUAAUCGCCAAUACAUCUUUUAAUAAAUCUUAAUAAACAUUUCUCCUCCAGGCCUCCAAACCUGGCGUCCUUUCCUAUCGUUAAUCAUUUUGCCGUAAAUAGUACAGUAUAACAGUAAAUUCAUUCAUAUACAUAUUUUUGCACAUUAUGUACAUUUUUGUAACUUUGAAUUUUCUACAAAUACAUAAACAUUUCCAAUCUAAUUAUAAGAUAGCUAUUAAAUUAAACAUUUUAAUUUCGUUGUAUUAAAUUUUGAUUCGGAAUAAAUUUGUGGUACAUUGGCAGAAAAUACAGCGAAAUAUGUAAUUUAAAAUUCUUAUUACAUUUAUGCAUGCAUAAUACAUAUGCAUACGCAGCAGUCUCUAUAUAUUAUAUAUACCUACCGUUGGACAUAGAGAUUUUUAAAUAAACAGAAAAUACUGCUUAAAUAUUAGAAAAAUUGUAUCGGCCAUACUUAAGAAGGUAUUACGAAAUAUUGAAGAACAAAAUUUCAUGGUACGUACGAAGGAAAUUUUUUGAUAAAACAUGGUAUUGAUCCAACACACGUGUGUAAAAGUUCACUUUCCCGGCACAUUAUAGCGUGUACGAAGGCAGUUCGAUCAAUCUUGCUACGAGAACGUUCUGGAUAUCUUUUAACCGGACAUUAUAAUCACGGCUUAUUAAAUUUAAAUACAUAUCGUAAUUUCCAUUAGAAGAAAAAAGAAGAGAAAGAGAUAGUUUUGUACAAGAUAAUUAGAUUGCGAGUGUCUAUUGGAAACAUUUCUGGGAAAUUCCAAUAUGCAGAAAUGUAUAAAAUUAUAAUUAUCGAAAUAUAGAAAUUUCGAGAAAUUUAGACUUUAAGAAAAUAGUAUCAUAGGCUGUAUAAUUAUCUCAUGUUAGGUAACGGUAUUUAAAAAGUAGCGAUUUCGUUUGGGACUUGUAUAAAUAUCCGUGUAUUGUGAAAUGGGAGCGCAACGUAAUUUAAAGAAAAUAAAACUAAAUCGCUUAUCGUUUAAAAAUGACCAUGGAUCAUCAUAUACUAGACUGUGAUACAUCUGUCGCUAUAUCAUACUUUAAUACUGCUGUAAUAUUAAUUCUUCCUCUACAUAUAUAAAUAGGUCUUGUUUAAGUUUUUGCAGAUAUCUCGGAAACUAAGACGGAUUGAACGGCGGUAACAUGCAUAGGGAAAAGUUGUCCAGAAUGAUGACCUUCACAAUAUAUUUCAAGAUUAUCAAAAUCGGUGAGGUGCAGCUGAUUCCGAAUAAUUGACGAAUAAACUUACCACGUAUUUAGUGAAAGAAAGUACGUUCGAUCGAAGGUAACCCUUUUAUAAUACGGUAUCAUAUGUUGUAUCAAAGGAAUGUUGUACCUUUUAAAUACCGUUGUACGAGAAGAGAAGGUGAAGUUGUAGAAAAUCUACUUCCUCUCCGAUUUCGUGAGAUGUAUCAAUCAAUAUCAAUGUUCAGGACGUAUGAAAAAUAAAUGUGACGAUUAUCGCAG